AACGGACGCUGGCGGCAGGCCUAACACAUGCAAGUCGAGCGAGGACUUCGGUCCUAGCGGCGGACGGGUGAGUAACGCGUGGGAACGUGCCCUUUGCUUCGGAAUAGCCCUGGGAAGCUGGGAGUAAUACCGGAUGAGCCCUUUGGGGGAAAGAUUUAUCGGCGAAGGAUCGGCCCGCGUUGGAUUAGGUAGUUGGUGGGGUAAUGGCCUACCAAGCCGACGAUCCAUAGCUGGUUUGAGAGGAUGAUCAGCCACACUGGGACUGAGACACGGCCCAGACUCCUACGGGAGGCAGCAGUGGGGAAUCUUAGACAAUGGGGGAAACCCUGAUCUAGCCAUGCCGCGUGAGCGAUGAAGGCCUUAGGGUUGUAAAGCUCUUUCAGCUGGGAAGAUAAUGACGGUACCAGCAGAAGAAGCCCCGGCUAACUCCGUG
rnacentral:rRNA from 1 species